rnacentral:rRNA from 1 species
AGAGUUUGAUCAUGGCUCAGAUUGAACGCUGGCGGCAGGCUUAACACAUGCAAGUCGAGCGGGGGAAGGUAGCUUGCUACCGGACCUAGCGGCGGACGGGUGAGUAAUGCUUAGGAAUCUGCCUAUUAGUGGGGGACAACAUCUCGAAAGGGAUGCUAAUACCGCAUACGUCCUACGGGAGAAAGCAGGGGAUCUUCGGACCUUGCGCUAAUAGAUGAGCCUAAUCGGAUUAGCUAGUUGGUGGGGUAAAGGCCUACCAAGGCGACGAUCUGUAGCGGGUCUGAGAGGAUGAUCCGCCACACUGGACUGAGACACGGCCCAGACUCCUACGGGAGGCAGCAGUGGGGAAUAUUGGACAAUGGGGGGAACCCUGAUCCAGCCAUGCCGCGUGUGUGAAGAAGGCCUUAUGGUUGUAAAGCACUUUAAGCGAGGAGGAGGCUACUUUAGUUAAUACCUAGAGAUAGUGGACGUUACUCGCAGAAUAAGCACCGGCUAACUCUGUGCCAGCAGCCGCGGUAAUACAGAGGGUGCGAGCGUUAAUCGGAUUUACUGGGCGUAAAGCGUGCGUAGGCGGCUUAUUAAGUCGGAUGUGAAAUCCCCGAGCUUAACUUGGGAAUUGCAUUCGAUACUGGUGAGCUAGAGUAUGGGAGAGGAUGGUAGAAUUCCAGGUGUAGCGGUGAAAUGCGUAGAGAUCUGGAGGAAUACCGAUGGCGAAGGCAGCCAUCUGGCCUAAUACUGACGCUGAGGUACGAAAGCAUGGGGAGCAAACAGGAUUAGAUACCCUGGUAGUCCAUGCCGUAAACGAUGUCUACUAGCCGUUGGGGCCUUUGAGGCUUUAGUGGCGCAGCUAACGCGAUAAGUAGACCGCCUGGGGAGUACGGUCGCAAGACUAAAACUCAAAUGAAUUGACGGGGGCCCGCACAAGCGGUGGAGCAUGUGGUUUAAUUCGAUGCAACGCGAAGAACCUUACCUGGCCUUGACAUACUAGAAACUUUCCAGAGAUGGAUUGGUGCCUUCGGGAAUCUAGAUACAGGUGCUGCAUGGCUGUCGUCAGCUCGUGUCGUGAGAUGUUGGGUUAAGUCCCGCAACGAGCGCAACCCUUUUCCUUACUUGCCAGCAUUUCGGAUGGGAACUUUAAGGAUACUGCCAGUGACAAACUGGAGGAAGGCGGGGACGACGUCAAGUCAUCAUGGCCCUUACGGCCAGGGCUACACACGUGCUACAAUGGUCGGUACAAAGGGUUGCUACACAGCGAUGUGAUGCUAAUCUCAAAAAGCCGAUCGUAGUCCGGAUUGGAGUCUGCAACUCGACUCCAUGAAGUCGGAAUCGCUAGUAAUCGCGGAUCAGAAUGCCGCGGUGAAUACGUUCCCGGGCCUUGUACACACCGCCCGUCACACCAUGGGAGUUUGUUGCACCAGAAGUAGCUAGCCUAACUGCAAAGAGGGCGGUUACCACGGUGUGGCCGAUGACUGGGGUGAAGUCGUAACAAGGUAGCCGUAGGGGAACCUGCGGCUG